AUGCUCCAUAAGAUGAAUAGCACCCAUAAGUUCUACAAACAAAGCAUCCCUCUGGCCCAAAAAACAAGAAAAAUUCCCCAAAUGGAAUCCGCUAUGGUCACCAAACAAAACACCGUACGCAGCCAGAUUCGCCAUCGAUACCCCAUCACAGUUAUCUUUAAACCAAAAUCUCAACAGAGGAACAGGAACCCAAAUAACUUCUUCAUCACCCUCGGUCUAGGCGGUAUAAUAGAAAGACGGGAUACUUUAAGCAGCCUAAAAUCAUCCAUAUUAUUCACAGAAUGA